rnacentral:rRNA from 1 species
UACAGAGGGGGCAAGCGUUGUUCGGAAUUACUGGGCGUAAAGGGCUCGUAGGCGGCCAACUAAGUCGGACGUGAAAUCCCCCGGCUUAACCGGGGAACUGCGUCCGAUACUGGAUGGCUUGAGUUUGGGAGAGGGAUGCGGAAUUCCAGGUGUAGCGGUGAAAUGCGUAGAUAUCUGGAGGAACACCGGUGGCGAAGGCGGCAUCCUGGACCAAUACUGACGCUGAGGAGCGAAAGCCAGGGGAGCAAACGGG